rnacentral:rRNA from 1 species
AGAGUUUGAUCCUGGCUCAGGAUGAACGCUAGCGACAGGCCUAACACAUGCAAGUCGAGGGGCAGCGAAGAGGUAGCAAUACCUCUGUCGGCGACCGGCGCACGGGUGAGUAACACGUAUGCAAUCCACCUGUAACAGGGGGAUAACCCGGAGAAAUCCGGACUAAUACCCCAUAAUAUGGGCGCUCCGCAUGGAGAGCCCAUUAAAGAGAGCAAUUUUGGUUACAGACGAGCAUGCGCUCCAUUAGCCAGUUGGCGGGGUAACGGCCCACCAAAGCGACGAUGGAUAGGGGUUCUGAGAGGAAGGUCCCCCACAUUGGAACUGAGACACGGUCCAAACUCCUACGGGAGGCAGCAGUGAGGAAUAUUGGUCAAUGGUCGGCAGACUGAACCAGCCAAGUCGCGUGAGGGAAGACGGCCCUACGGGUUGUAAACCUCUUUUGUCGGAGAGUAAAGUACGCUACGUGUAGCGUAUUGCAAGUAUCCGAAGAAAAAGCAUCGGCUAACUCCGUGCCAGCAGCCGCGGUAAUACGGAGGAUGCAAGCGUUAUCCGGAUUUAUUGGGUUUAAAGGGUGCGUAGGCGGCACGCCAAGUCAGCGGUGAAAUUUCCGGGCUCAACCCGGAGUGUGCCGUUGAAACUGGCGAGCUAGAGUGCACAAGAGGCAGGCGGAAUGCGUGGUGUAGCGGUGAAAUGCAUAGAUAUCACGCAGAACCCCGAUUGCGAAGGCAGCCUGCUAGGGUGCGACAGACGCUGAGGCACGAAAGCGUGGGUAUCGAACAGGAUUAGAUACCCUGGUAGUCCACGCAGUAAACGAUGAAUACUAACUGUUUGCGAUACAAUGUAAGCGGUACAGCGAAAGCGUUAAGUAUUCCACCUGGGGAGUACGCCGGCAACGGUGAAACUCAA